rnacentral:rRNA from 1 species
GACAGAGGGUGCAAGCGUUGUUCGGAAUUAUUGGGCGUAAAGGGCGCGUAGGCCGCUUCGUAAGUCAAAUGUGAAAUCCCAGGGCUCAACCCUGGAAGUGCAUCUGAUACUGCGAAGCUUGAGUCCCGGAGAGGGUGGUGGAAUUCCCAGUGUAGAGGUGAAAUUCGUAGAUAUUGGGAGGAACACCGGUGGCGAAGGCGACCACCUGGACGGAGACUGACGCUGAGGCGCGAAAGCGUGGGGAGCAAACAGG